rnacentral:tRNA from 137 species
UCGGGAUAGCUCAGUUGGUAGAGCAGAGGAC